GCUUAUGUGCACGAAAAUGCAGGAGAAAGGAUGGCACCCAGAGACGAGGAAGGGCGUAGCAAGCGACGAAAUGCUUCGGGGAGUUGAAAAUAAGCAUAGAUCCGGAGAUUCCCAAAUAGGUCAACCUUUUGAACUUCUUGCUGAAUCCAUGAGCAGGCAAGAGACAACCUGGCGAACUGAAACAUCUUAGUAGCGAGAGGAAAAGAAAG
rnacentral:ncRNA from 1 species